rnacentral:lncRNA from 13 species
GGUAACCAGUAGUUUAAAAAAUGUAUUGUAAAGACAGUGUAUCAACAUGAGAAUAACAGAUUUAUUUAUUUAAUUAGGCAAGUCAGUUAAGAACAAAUUCUUAUUUUCAAUGACGGCCUAGGAACAGUGGGUUAAGUGCCUGUUCAGGGGCAGAAUGACAUAUUUGUACCUUGUCAGCUCAGGGAUUUGAACUUGCAACCUUCCAGUUACUAGUCCAACGCUCUAACCACUAGGCUACCCUGCCACCCCAAUAUACAUAUAUACAGAUAUACAUUAUUUCAACGUGAGAAUAACAGAUAUACGUUGUAUCAACAUGAGAAUAACAGGAAGGCAAUAUGUCUGUCAUAUUUAAUAGGCUCUACCGUGAAGAGUCCAUUUGAGGUGUUGCAGAAGACCGAGGACGGCAAUGUGAUUGGCUCAGGACAGAACCACCUGAUCAGCAGUCGCCAAUGGGAGGACCAGGACGCUGUGUUUAAGUCUGUAUACAGGAAGUACAUGGUUACUAACCCCAGCAACACUACAGACCCAGAGGACAGACCCAGGUAAACACUACAGUUGAAUGAGAGUGGUUAGGGUCUGUUUCCUGUCCUGGGAGGAGUUAAGCCUCAGACAGGAGGAGUGGCUGUAGCUGUGUGUCUGUGGUGGAGCGGCAGACACAAUCUGCUGCAGUACUUACUGUGUAAAGCUCCCAAAGACAAACCAGGUCUUCCUCUGUCUGUUGUCUCAGUGGAAGCAGACAGUGUGUUCAGCAGCAUAAUAUUUGUGGAUUAUUCCACUAGUACGGCUACUGAGGAUGCCCUACUCAGCCAGGGUCCGAACCACAGCAGCACACUGGUCCAUCUACUGGUUACCUGUAAGAGUGGAGCAUGUCAUCUAGUCGACGCAGGAAGAGGACUGGACUCUCAUAAUGUCACACAACUAUCAGA